UACGUAGGGUGCAAGCGUUAUCCGGAAUUAUUGGGCGUAAAGAGCUCGUAGGCGGUUUGUCGCGUCUGCUGUGAAAACUGGAGGCUCAACCUCCAGCCUGCAGUGGGUACGGGCAGACUAGAGUGCGGUAGGGGAGAUUGGAAUUCCUGGUGUAGCGGUGGAAUGCGCAGAUAUCAGGAGGAACACCGAUGGCGAAGGCAGAUCUCUGGGCCGUAACUGACGCUGAGGAGACGAAGCAUGGGGAGCGAACAGG
rnacentral:rRNA from 1 species